UUAACCCCUUAAGGACACAUGACGGAAAUAUUCCGUCAUGAUUCCAUUUUAUUCCAGAAGUUGUGUCCUUAAGGGGUUAAGUGUUUUUACAAAAGGUGAAAUGCUGUCCAGCCGGCUAGAAUGAAACAAUUGUAUGCUAUCGCUCCUGGAGCAAGAAAAGCGCUUGUUACAUCCCACGUGAAAGGGGCCCCGCAAACUUCUGCUGUUCAAAUCGUGGAUCCACGUUUCCAUUUGCAAACUGAUUAAUCCUGAAAGUCAUUCUUUUACUGAUAAAAAGGAUUGAAUGGACAAGAUGUCUCUCCCUCAUAAAGGAGUUCUAAUAGGGGAGUAUUGUUCAGCUCAGAGUUAACUCUACUUUGAAAGUAUAUUGCAUUGUUUGUG